GCCCGCCGGAGGACCAACCAAAACUCUUAUUGUAUACCCCCUCGCGGGUUUUUUUAUAAUCUGAGCCUUCUCGGCGCCUCUCGUAGGCGUUUCGAAAAUGAAUCAAAACUUUCAACAACGGAUCUCUUGGUUCUGGCAUCGAUGAAGAACGCAGCGAAAUGCGAUAAGUAAUGUGAAUUGCAGAAUUCAGUGAAUCAUCGAAUCUUUGAACGCACAUUGCGCCCGCCAGUAUUCUGGCGGGCAUGCCUGUCCGAGCGUCAUUUCAACCCUCGAACCCCUCCGGGGGGUCGGCGUUGGGGAUCGGCCCUCCCUUAGCGGGGUGGCCGUCUCCGAAAUACAGUGGCGGUCUCGCCGCAGCCUCUCCUGCGCAGUAGUUUGCACACUCGCAUCGGGAGCGCGGCGCGUCCACAGCCGUUAAACACCCAACUUCUGAAAUGUUGACCUCGGAUCAGGUAGGAAUACCCGCUGAACUUAAGCAUAUCAAUA
rnacentral:rRNA from 1 species